GUUCCUAUAGCGCAAUGGAUAGCGCAUUGGACUUCUUGUUCAAAGAUCAUGGGUUCAAAUCCCAUCUGGGAUG